rfam:Capsicum annuum cultivar Zunla-1 chromosome 12, whole genome shotgun sequence
UGAUGAUAGUGAGGGAAAUUUCUGAGCAUACUUUUAAAUCUCUCCCAAGCUUGGUAGAGGUUCUCUUCUUCUUUCUGUUUGAAACUCAGGAUCUUGCUUCUCAAAUA